UAUUGCACAAUGGGGGGAACCCUGAUGCAGCGACGCCGCGUGGGUGAAGGAGUAUUUCGGUGUGUAAAGCCCUAUCGGCAGGGAAGAAUUUAGACGGUACCUGACUAAGAAGCCCCGGCUAAUUACGUGCCAGCAGCCGCGGUAAUACGUAGGGGGCAAGCGUUAUCCGGAUUUACUGGGUGUAAAGGGAGCGUAGACGGAAUUGCAAGUCUGAUGUGAAAAUCCGGGGCCCAACCCCGGAACUGCAUUGGAAACUGUAUUUCUAGAGUGUCGGAGAGGCAAGUGGAAUUCCUGGUGUAGCGGUGAAAUGCGUAGAUAUCAGGAGGAACACCAGUGGCGAAGGCGGCUUGCUGGACGAUGACCGACGUUGAGGCUCGAAAGCGUGGGGAGCAAACAGG
rnacentral:rRNA from 1 species